GCAGUAGGAUCACUGCUUUCUUCAUAGUUUUCUUCCAUAGGUUUCUAUUCUGGUAAUGUGUAUGUGGAGAAGGGUCUUGUCAAGUCCAAGUCUAUCAUCUAUGUCUAUCAUCUAUCUAUCUAUCAUCUAUCUAUCUAUCUAUCUAUCAUCUAUCUAUCUAUCUAUCAUCUAUCUAUCUAUCUAUCUAUCUAUCAUCUAUCUAUCUAUCAUAUCUAUCUAUCUAUCUAUCUAUCUAUCUAUCUAUCUAUCUAUCUAUCUAUCUAUCUAUCUAUCAUCUAUCUAUCUAUCUAUCAUCUAUCUAUCUAUCUAUCUAUCUAUCUAUCUAUCUAUCUAUCAUCUAUCUAUAAUCUAUCAUCUAUCUAUCUAUCAUAUCUAUCUAUCUAUCUAUCAAUCUAUCUAUCAUCUAUCUAUCUAUCUAUCUAUCAUCUAUCUAUAAUCUAUCUAUCAUCUAUCUAUCUAUCUAUCUAUCUAUCUAUCUAUCUAUCUAUCUAUCUAUCAUCUAUCUAUUUAUCUAUCAUCUAUCUAUCUAUCUAUCUAUCUAUCAUCUAUCUAUCUAUCUAUCUAUCUAUCUAUCUAUCAUCUAUCUAUCAUCUGUCUAUAUCUAUCUAUUUAUUUAUCUAUCUAUCUAUCAUCUAUCUAUCUAUCAUCUAUCUAUCUAUCUAUCUAUCUAUCUAUCAUCUAUCUAUCUAUCAUCUAUAUCUAAUAUCUAUCAUCUAUCAUCUAUCAUCUAUCUAUCUAUCAUCUAUCUAUCAUCUAUUCAUUUCAAUGCAUAUAAAAAUCUAUGCAUUUUUUAACAGUGCUUAGUUGGCAAAAUGCAUCGCAAAAUUCAGAUAAGUGGACAUUUGAAAGCAUGGCUGUGCUUUUGUUCUCGAAUCUCUUGCCCCACCUCUAUUUCAGAGAUAAUUCACCUGUUCUACAGUUCCUGAACUGAGUUGGCGACUGGGGCAUAAUCCCACCUCCAUAUUCUACAGUUCUUUACAAUUAGCACCCACUUGGAGAUCAGGGACCGCUGACCUUUUUCGACUAGUGGUACAUUUGGAAUUUUG
rnacentral:lncRNA from 1 species